rnacentral:rRNA from 1 species
GUGUCAGCAGCCGCGGUAAUACAGAGGGUGCGAGCGCUAAUCGGAAUUACUGGGCGUAAAGCGAGUGUAGGUGGCUCAUUAAGUCACAUGUGAAAUUCCCGGGCUUAACCUGGGAACUGCAUGUGAUACUGGUGGUGCUAGAAUAUGUGAGAGGGAAGUAGAAUUCCAGGUGUAGCGGUGAAAUGCGUAGAGAUCUGGAGGAAUACCGAUGGCGAGGGCAGCUUCCUGGCAUAAUAUUGACACUCAGAUGCGAAAGCGUGGGGAGCAAACAGGAUUAGAAACCCCCGUAGUCC